UUGUAAAAUUAUUUCAAAUAUAUAAAAGUUACCUUUUGCAUAAUGGUUUAAUUAAAUUUUAAAAAUUUUUCAUUCCCGAAAUAAAAAGAUCUAAUAAAAAAUUAAAAAUAUGUUUUAAAAUAUUUAUUUAAUUUUUUAUUAGGUGUGAAAGGCUAGUCAAUUUUUAUGAUAUCUGGAUAAGAUUAAAUGUAUUUAGUACAGGCUUAAAGCUGAUGAGCCCCCUGUUAAGGGGGGGCUCAAAAAGUAUAUUAAUAUUAUAAAUUUAUUUAGGAUAAUUCUAUAAUAACUAUUGUGUGUUUAUAAUUAUUUAUUUAUUGAUCUGGUUUUUUUUUCUAGAAAAUUCUAAUUUUUUAAAUUUUUCAUAAUGUUAAAAUAAGUAUUAUUAAUAAUUUAAAUAUAGG
rnacentral:rRNA from 1 species